rnacentral:rRNA from 1 species
AACGAACGCUGGCGGCGUGUUUAAGACAUGCAAGUCGCACGGGAUAAGACAUGUAGUAAUACUUGUUUUAUUUAGUGGCGCACGGGUGAGUAACACGUGAAUUACAUGCCCUAUAGUGGGGAAUAGCCCAGGGAAACUUGGAUUAAUACCCCAUGGUAUCGAAAGAUUAAAGGUGGCCGCAAGGCUGUCGCUAUAGGAUUGGUUCGCGCCCUAUCAGCCUGUUGGUGAGGUAACGGCUCACCAAGGCAAUGACGGGUACCUGGUCUGAGAGGACGAUAAGGCACACUGGAACUGAGACACGGUCCAGACACCUACGGGUGGCAGCAGUCGAGAAUAAUUCACAAUGGGGGCAACCCUGAUGGUGCAACGCCGCGUGGAGGAUGACGGUCUUCGGAUUGUAAACUCCUGUCAUCUGGGAGAAAGACCUGACGGUAAAUAGCCGGCAGGGUUGAUAGUACCAGAAGAGGAAGGGACGGCUAACUUCGUGCCAGCAGCCGCCGUAA